AUUGAACGCUGGCGGCAUGCUUUACACAUGCAAGUCGAACGGCAGCGCGGGCUUCGGCCUGGCGGCGAGUGGCGAACGGGUGAGUAAUACAUCGGAACGUGCCCAGUAGUGGGGGAUAGCUCGGCGAAAGCCGGAUUAAUACCGCAUACGACCUGAGGGUGAAAGCGGGGGAUCUUCGGACCUCGCGCUAUUGGAGCGGCCGCUGGCAGAUUAGCCAGUUGGUGGGGUAAAGGCCUACCAAGGCGACGAUCUGUAGCUGGUCUGAGAGGAGGACCAGCCACACUGGGACUGAGCCACGGCCCAGACUCCUACGGGAGGCAGCAGUGGGGAAUUUUGGACAAUGGGCGAAAGCCUGAUCCAGCAAUGCCGCGUGUGUGAUGAGGGCCUUCGGGUUGUAAAGCACUUUUGGCGGGAACGAAAAGGACUGUGCCAAUACCACGGUUCGAUGACGGUACCCGCAGAAUAAGCACCGGCUAACUACGUG
rnacentral:rRNA from 1 species